CGUCCUAUUAGCUAGUUGGUGAGGUAAUGGCUCACCAAGGCUACGAUGGGUAGGGGUUCUUAGUGGAAGGUCCCCCACACUGGCACUGAGAUACGGGCCAGACUCCUACGGGAGGCAGCAGUAGGGAAUAUUGGUCAAUGGGCGCAAGCCUGAACCAGCCAUGCCGCGUGCAGGAUGAAGGCUCUCUGAGUUGUAAACUGCUUUUGUACAGGAGCAAAAAAAUCCCUGCGGGGGUUCUUGAGAGUACUGUAAGAAUAAGCACCGGCUAAUUCCGUGCCAGCAGCCGCGGUAAUACGGGAGGUGCAAGCGUUAUCCGGUUUUAUUGGGUUUAAAGGGUGCGUAGGCGGCUUGUUAAGUCAGUUGUGAAAUCCUAGUGCUUAACGCUAGAACUGCGAUUGAUACUAUU
rnacentral:rRNA from 1 species